AGCGAACGCUGGCGGCAGGCUUAACACAUGCAAGUCGGGCGGGCAUCUUCGGGUGUCAGCGGCGGACGGGUGAGUAACGCGUGGGAACGUGCCUUCUGGUUCGGAAUAACUCAGGGAAACUUGAGCUAAUACCGGAUACGCCCUUUUGGGGAAAGGUUUACUGCCGGAAGAUCGGCCCGCGUCUGAUUAGCUAGUUGGUGGGGUAACGGCCUACCAAGGCGACGAUCAGUAGCUGGUCUGAGAGGAUGAUCAGCCACACUGGGACUGAGACACGGCCCAGACUCCUACGGGAGGCAGCAGCGGGGAAUAUUGGACAAUGGGGGCAACCCUGAUCCAGCCAUGCCGCGUGAGUGAUGAAGGCCUUAGGGUUGUAAAGCUCUUUUAUCCGGGACGAUAAUGACGGUACCGGAGGAAUAAGCCCCGGCUAACUUCGUGCCAGCCGCCGCCGUAA
rnacentral:rRNA from 1 species